GUACUUCUCCAAUACUUGCUAAUUGAGGCUACGAACUGAGACCCAGUGUCUCCAAAAGCCUUGGGAAAAGUCCCCAGACCAAGGGCAGAAAGUGUCCAGCAGUAGUACACUGCAUCCUGGCCCAAGUCCUCUUUACCAGCCGUGAGGUCUUUGGACUGAGCUGAGGAUGGGUCAGGUGUUAGUCAUAGCACAGUCAUGCAAGUACUACCUAUGGGGUAGGAACUCAAUGGGGCUUAGUCAGGGGAAGUG
rnacentral:RNase_MRP_RNA from 1 species